UACGUAGGGUCCGAGCGUUGUCCGGAAUUACUGGGCGUAAAGAGCUCGUAGGUGGUUUGUCGCGUUGUUCGUGAAAACUCACAGCUCAACUGUGGGCGUGCGGGCGAUACGGGCAGACUAGAGUACUGCAGGGGACACUGGAAUUCCUGGUGUAGCGGUGGAAUGCGCAGAUAUCAGGAGGAACACCGGUGGCGAAGGCGGGUCUCUGGGCAGUAACUGACGCUGAGGAGCGAAAGCGUGGGGAGCGAACAGG
rnacentral:rRNA from 1 species